rnacentral:rRNA from 1 species
CUUCCAAUGCUAAUGGCUUUCCAAGCGACUUUUCGCGUCUUCCAAUGCUAAUGGAUUUCCAGUCGACCUUUUUUUGCGAUUUCGAGUCAUUUGGUUCUACUCAAUCUACGUUGAAAGAGUUUUGCGACAUUGUGCUUUUCGCGAUCUCUAAUCGCCGGCGCAUACACGAAUUUCAAUUGCGCUUGAAAAUAAGUCAGUUUACAGUGAUUGGUUGAUAAGUAGGUCUGCUACAUCAUUUCAAUAAAAUAUUCAUAAAUCUUUGUUCUGUUUAGUUAUAAGUAAAUAUUAUUUGACGUGUAGGCGGUUUCAAGGGUUGGUUCGUUCGCCCAUUAAAAUCCAACGUGAGCUGAGUUCAGAUCGGCGAAAGCUAGGUCGGUUUCUAUCUUCUUUUUAAUGGAAAGCCUUAGGGUACGAAAGGACAUUUGGCUUCAGAGGUUCUGUAAUAGUGAUCUUGUAAUAUAAUUAUAGUAAAAAAAAAAAAAAAAAACCUUGCUCAGAGGUUUUCGUCCAUUUCGUUCAGAAUUGUACAACAGCUCCAUGGAUCUAAUGGUUCAGCUGUUUUGAUCAUGUAAUUGGUUAUUGGAACUUUAGCUAACUAGAAAAGAAUCUUAUAGAGUCUUGCAUUGCUCAAAGGCUUACAUACUUUCUUAGAACAAACAAAUAAUCUGCAUACCGUGUUGAUUACAUGCCCAUAUGUUUUGGAUUCAGUUGUUAUACUUCUAUCUUUAAUUUUAUACAUUUUGUAAAUUUUGGAAAUUUUUGAUAGUAUUUUAUGCUACUGAAAAAUUGCCUUUAUAUUAGUAGAUGUUCUGGGUUUUCAUAUAUGUAUUGUAUUGUAUCAUGUUCAUUGAAUUCCUUGAUAUUGUCUCUGAUUGAGACCUAGCUCAUGUACCA